rnacentral:misc_RNA from 1 species
CCCCUCCCCCUCCGGCUUUCAUAAUUCCUGCAGAAGCCGUGCACCUCGUUUAUCGGCAGAGCUGCAGUCACUGCUCCCAUCCACCACCUUCUCGUAGAAGCUGUCGAACAAGAGGGAGAACCUAGUAUAGAAGACCUGACUCCCCUAGUAGUAGCAGCAGCACUUGCAGUAGCAGCAGGGGCGAGCUAGACAGCCUCACCACACAAACACACACCUCGUCAUCAUCCAUCAUAGGAACGGAAGUUUUUUUUCUCUUCUGUUGUGCGCACCUCGUGUGGGCGCAGGUUAGCGGCUUACUAUACAUCUCUGUUACGUCAUCAUGUUGAGCAGUACAGUUCGCCGGUUGGUGCGUGACCCCGUUCCGACGGACACAAAGGCGUUUUACACGUGGUUUAGCGGUCAGGCCUACCGUCAGGAGCGCGUGAUUCCUGGCGGGUACCCGGCUGUUCGUGUGUACCCAGUGUAUGGUAAGCGCUGGUUCACGGGCCGCACCGUGAUUGCCAUCGUCGCUGGCAUCUCCAUCUUUGGCGCGUGGGUGCGCCCAGAGCGUGAGCGCUACAACAUGGAGAUGAUGAUUGAGUUUGCGGAACGCCAAGCCGCACAUCUCCCAUACCAGACCGCCGAGGUGAACCUGCGCUGCUUCAUUACAGGCUACAAGCGCUACCGCUACGAGAAGGAGAACCUCAUCGACAAGGGCUACGUUGGUCUCACGUCGGAGUUCCGCAAGUUCUUUUACCACAACGACGUCUGGCGCCCGCCGCUGCACGACGUCCUCAUGCACCCUUACGUGAAGUACGGCGGCCCGAUGGGUAGCUACAACUGGUCUGUCGGCUACUUCUAAGCGCCUGCGCGUCAGCGGUGCAAAUGUGGCACGUGCGUGCAAGAGGUCCUGUCUGCUGCUUCUCUUCUCGCUGCGCGCAUUCAGCCUGACGCUUUGCUUUUCCCCAGCCCGCCUUGUCGUUGGUCUUUUUCGCUCCUUUUUCUCCCCCGUGCACUGUGUGUGUGUGUGUGUGUGUGUGGCUGCAAAGGGUACGCGAAAAAUAGGGAGCGCCACAAACACACACACACACACGUAUACACUCCUUUCCCCGCUUCCGCAGACGUACGCCUUUUCGUUUCGCUUGCAGCAGGUGUGUCCCCCCUGUGUGGGGCGCUAGAGGGUGAGCAGGUGAAGGGCAUGCUGUUUCUCUGCAAGUUGCUUUAGUGGAACAGGCGAUGGGGGGUGUGGAGGACGAUC